rnacentral:rRNA from 1 species
AACGAACGCUGGCGGCAUGCCUAACACAUGCAAGUCGAACGAGACCUUCGGGUCUAGUGGCGCACGGGUGCGUAACGCGUGGGAACCUGCCCUUAGGUUCGGAAUAACUCCCCGAAAGGGGUGCUAAUACCGGAUAAUGUCUUCGGACCAAAGAUUUAUCGCCUUUGGAUGGGCCCGCGUUGGAUUAGCUAGUUGGUAGGGUAAAAGCCUACCAAGGCGACGAUCCAUAGCUGGUCUGAGAGGAUGAUCAGCCACACUGGGACUGAGACACGGCCCAGACUCCUAGGGGAGGCAGCAGUGGGGAAUAUUGGACAAGGGGCGAAAGCCUGAUCCAGCAAUGCCGCGGGAGUGAUGAAGGCCUUAGGGUUGUAAAGCUCUUUUACCCGGGAUGAUAAUGACAGUACCGGGAGAAUAAGCUCCGGCUAACUCCGUG